rnacentral:rRNA from 1 species
UACGGAGGGUGCAACCGUUGCUCGGAAUCAUUGGGCGUAAAGCGCACGUAGGCGGCCUGAUAAGUCGGGUGUGAAAGCCCUGGGCUCAACCCAGGAAGUGCACUCGAAACUGUCGGGCUUGAAUAUGGAAGAGGGUCGCGGAAUUCCCGGUGUAGAGGUGAAAUUCGUAGAUAUCGGGAGGAACACCAGUGGCGAAGGCGGCGACCUGGGCCAAUAUUGACGCUGAGGUGCGAAAGCGUGGGGAGCAAACAGG